AGAAAACUGGCAAAAGGUUGCAGUAUUCUAGUCAACCCUAUACAAUUUCGAAGACGGGCCUAAAAAUCCGUAAAGGGCACAUCGAUGAAGCUUCUGGUGCCGGCUUGUGACGCCCAGUCAGGGGUCGGUGCUGGGAGUUAAGAGUGCAGGGGCAAUCCGCAACGGCAUGCGGGCAUGACCCCUGUAUUCGUGGAGGCUCUUCACGGUAUGACCAGUGAAGGGAAAACCUGCAUUCCGGUAUAAGCUGGGUGCAGUGUAGCCUGCCUUGAGUGGUGGCGGCGGAUGAACUCUAGUGGGUAAUCAUAUCCCGGCCAGGAUAUAAUUGCCUGUUCUGAAACCGGGUGCUGCAAAAGAGGCUAGAAUUGAUGUGGGUUGUUGAGGAAAACUCCUAGACUGUGUGUUGCGGAACAUAGUUUGUCGGGGAUUAAAGUGUGUACUUAGUGGUAAUCCAGCCCCAUAAGUGGCAACGUUAUGGAGCAGGCGUAAAGGGAAACCGCCCUUAUGGCAACAUUCGGGUGACCUGCUGGGAAAACCUGCUGGACCUAUGUCGCAGCGUUUACUCGACAGACAACCUUUUGCCAGAACUUU
rnacentral:sRNA from 22 species